rnacentral:rRNA from 1 species
GACGAACGCUGGCGGCGCGCCUAACACAUGCAAGUCGAACGGAGCUGAGAGAAGCUUGCUUUUCUUAGCUUAGUGGCGAACGGGUGAGUAACGCGUGAGUAACCUGCCCUGGAGUGGGGGACAACAGUUGGAAACGACUGCUAAUACCGCAUAAGCCCACGAUCCGGCAUCGGAUUGAGGGAAAAGGAUUUAUUCGCUUCAGGAUGGACUCGCGUCCAAUUAGCUAGUUGGUGAGGUAACGGCCCACCAAGGCGACGAUUGGUAGCCGGACUGAGAGGUUGACCGGCCACAUUGAGAGUGAGCCUCGGCCCACACUCCCACGGGAGGCAUCAGUGGGGGAUCCUGGACCAUGGGCGAAACACUGCUGCGGCGAUGAGGGGUGGAAGAAGAAGGGCAUGGAAUUGUAAACUGCUGUUGGGAGGGACGAGUAUGAAGGUAGCUAACCAGAAAGUGCCGGCUAGGUAAGUG